UGGGGAAUAUUGCACAAUGGGCGCAAGCCUGAUGCAGCAACGCCGCGUGAGGGAAGACGGUCUUCGGAUUGUAAACCUUUGUCUUUGGUGAAGAAGAAAGUGACGGUAGCCAAGGAGGAAGCCACGGCUAACUACGUGCCAGCAGCCGCGGUAAUACGUAGGUGGCAAGCGUUGUCCGGAAUUACUGGGUGUAAAGGGAGCGCAGGCGGGACAGCAAGUUGGAUGUGAAAUACCGAGGCUUAACCACGGAGCUGCAUCCAAAACUGUUGUUCUUGAGUGAAGUAGAGGUAGGCGGAAUUCCGAGUGUAGCGGUGAAAUGCGUAGAUAUUCGGAGGAACACCAGUGGCGAAGGCGGCC
rnacentral:rRNA from 1 species